AGAUUCCCAGGUUAUCUCAUAGACAGGGCUGCACUGGGCCUCCUGCCUAGGCCUGUUUGAUGAAGCACCAACAAGCCCCACAGCUUUGUUGCUUUUGCUAUGCCCACUGGGACCAGUGAGAGAAGUGUGGUCUUAUCCCUGGGAGGAGAGAAAGAGCCAGCAUCUGCAGGCGCCCACAGGAUGUCAAGAUCGUGUGGAAUGAUGGUGAUCGAUAUAGACGUGAUCUCAGAGUUCACUCCCUCAUCAUACAGUGGAGGAAAUGAGGCCCAGGGAGGGGCGGAACAUUUUUCCGAGUCAUACAGCAAGAACUCAGAGGCCUCUUGGUUCCUGCUCUUGCCUUGAGAUGGUUCUGUGGGGUGCUCCAGAGCCCCCAAGAAAUUCUUCUGAAAUUCGUUUCUCCACAGGACACCUGGGCUCCUCCUCUGUCCUCCCAGCUCCUCACAGAGGGGUAGUUUCCCUUCUGGCCUGCCUAAGUCUGUCUUUUCUUCUGGACUUCAGUGGCCACCAUGGACCUCCCAAGCUUUCUCUCGGGCUCUUCCAGUGCCGACCUCAGCUUGGCUGCCUCACAUCCUGUCUGGUGGGCACUUACAGGAGCCAUGUCCAUGGACCACCUCGCCUGGGCUGUGGAGGCCCCGUUCUGAGACCACGUGCAGUCCCAAAAAGGAAGCUAAAAGGGGUCAGGGGAGAACAUCCCCGAGUAGGGUGAGGGUGAAUCUCAGUCUCCCUGUCAACUCUCUUUAUCCUGACGUCCAGAAUUCCAGACCUUUGUGGGCACUGAUCCGUGAGACUGAGCUCUUUAAGCCCUUUCACCGAUCCCUGGGGUCCGAAACUUUCAGCUUGCACUUUGGCUUGGUAAAUCACUGACUGUCCCACCAAACACCCCUGCACCCCCCAAACUCAACCUGUGCUCUUCAUGUGCUUUCUCCUGUUGGAUCCCCACACUGACCUUCUGGGUUAGGGACUUGCAUGUCCCCAUUUUAUAGAUGAGGAGCCUGUGGCCCAGGGAGGUGGGUCACCUGCCCAGUAUCACACAGCCUGAGAUUGGCAGAGCCAGAUCUCAUGGAAUGAGAGCCCUGUCUCACCUCCCUAGAGACAGAGCUUAAUUGAUAACUUCGAGUUGAUACUGAAAGGUCACAGGAAUUGCAGCAGAUAAGGGGUUCUGAGGAACUGGCUCUCUAGCACCUGUGGUAAUUAAUUCAGUAUCCCUUUUUGUGUCCCAGAGAAGCACAGUGGCUAAAGCGCACAGCACAAGCUUGGAGAUCAGAUGGACAUGGCUUCAAAUCUCGUCUCUGCUGUUUACAAAAAGUAUGACCCCAGGAGAGGGAUUUAUACCCUCUGAGCUGUAGUUUCCUCAUCCACAAUGUGGCAGUAGGAUUUUAGAGGAUACCGAGAGAUUAAAUGAGAUCUUUCUUAUAGAGUGCUUAGCAAGGGGCUUGGCACCACGGAUGGUAAUAUCAUCAUGAUGAUGCCAGUUAUUUUCAUUGCUAUUCCUUAUUAUUCAUCACUAUUUUUAUUCAUUGCUGUUGCCGGUUGUAUUCAUCAUUAAUAAAUAAUAGCAUUGUUUAUU
rnacentral:lncRNA from 1 species